UGCAAAGUUCAUAUCAACUUUGUUUUUAAUAUAUAUUAAUAUAAUAUAAAUCAAUUUUGACAAAACAAAUUUUAUCUGUAGGAAAAUUGCCUCUAAAAUAAUGCCAGGUAGCUGGAAAGAACCACAGAAGAAGGUAAUGUAAAUAUAAAUGUGUGUUGCUAGUAUAAGACAAAAAACACACACAGAUAUCUCCUUUACUAAUCACCUCUUCAUAUGAUCGAAUCUACACAAACAGACUGACAGCCUGGACUGCUCAGGGUAAGUGGAGGACACUCUGCCAGUAGUAAGAUGUAAAUGUUGAUUUAAAAUAAUAACUUGCUUUUUUAUUUAGUAUGCUCUCUACAUUGCCACUGGAAGAGCAUUUGAUUUCAGUCAGGAAGACAUGCCAAAAAUUAGAAGAUGGUGGUGUCAUCUCUUACUUCACAAAGCCAGCAUUAAAGCCAAGACUUCGGUCUUCACUUUCCACACGAGAAGAAGGACAUUCUGUGCCCCACGGGCAGUGCU